rnacentral:rRNA from 1 species
CGCGUAGGUGGCUUGUUAAGCGUGUGGUGAAAGCCCGGGGCUCAACCCCGGGUCUGCCGUGCGGACUGGCAAGCUCGAGCAUAGUAGAGGCGAGUGGAAUUUCGGGUGUAGCGGUGGAAUGCGUAGAUAUCCGAAAGAACACCGGUGGCGAAGGCGGCUCGCUGGGCUAUUGCUGACACUGAUGCGCGACAGCGUGGGGAGCAAACA